CGGGGGGUAGCUUAGGGGUAGUUAAAGCAUGAAAUUCUUACUUUCAUUAUGUGGGGUUUCCACCCCCCCGG
rnacentral:tRNA from 1 species